AUUUGGAGCCUUAAAACAGUUGCAUCAAUUGUAUUUCUUAUUAAGCGGGUCCUGUGUACCAUGUCAGUUUAUUUUUUUUAAUCGAAAAAGUGGUGCGUAAAUAAGUCGGGGGUAAUAAAGAAAUUGCAGGGACCGGUUUGAGUAAUAGUAAAAUUUUCUGCAGCUUUCCCUUAUCCCCAUUAUUCUUCUUUAAAAAUAUUUUCUUCCAGCUUUCUCAUCUUCUCGUUUGGACUCUACCUCUUCAAUUUUUAUUUAUUAACUCUUCCCAGCUUUUUCUCUCUAUCACAAAUGGCAACUCUCUCAACUACCAGCUUUUUCAUUAAACUCUUCGGCGACUCUCUCUCUCAACUACCAGCCUGCAGCUCAUUUACUCCACACAUACCAAUCUUUAGACAGAGAGACCUCCUAAUGUAUAAUUUUUAAGGGUAAAUACACCGUACCCAAGCACCUAUAAAAACCAUAGCAACCGUCCUCAAGCACUUCAUAGUUUUUUCUAAACAGUUCUCCAUUUCCUAACAUUCUAGAAGUGUCUCUCUUUUAAUAGUUCUGUUCUUUUGAGAAAGAACUUGGGUAGGCAACAGAUCUCAAAGAUUCUAAACAGAGGUGGUUCUACCUUUCAGCGCUGGUAGCGGAUGUAUUUUUAUCUGGUACGUUUUUAUUUCAUCUAUUUAUAUUUAUUAUUUUCAUUACAAUUGUAUUUUAUAAUUAGCAAUUAUUAGUAUUCAAAUAUUUUCCCCA